UAUUAGGUUGGUGCAAAAGUAAUUGCGGUUUUUGCCAUAAAGGUAAUGGCAAAAACCACAAUUACUUUUGCACCAACCUAAUAU
ensembl:miRNA